rnacentral:tRNA from 1 species
GGCCAGAUGCCCGAGCGGAUAGGGGAAGGUCUGCAAAACCUUUUUACGGGGGUUCGAAUCCCCCUCUGGCCU